CAGCCCUCCUGUGGGGCAGCAAAGAGGUUAAUGGAGAGUAUUAUACAUAUAGUGCAUGCAUGCGCGCGCGCACACACACACACACGUUUUGGUGACAAAAUCCCAGGAGGGGUGAUGACAGGAUGUGUGUGACUGCCCAGUCUCUCCACACCGGGCUCCCAGUUCAGAGGAAGGCAGCCAUUCCCCAGCCCUGCCACUGUCAGACCCUGUCCAGCACCCAGGGACAUUCCUCCUCCCUGCAGUGGGAUCCGAGUCUCCAGGUCCCCUGCCUGACAGCUGACACCUGUGCCCUGACUCAGUGCUGAGUAGCAAGGUGGAGGUGCAGUGGAGGCACCUGGGCUGGGGUGGGGCCUGGCAAAGGCCCGGGUCAGUGUAAGAGGAGUCUGGAGAAGGGAAGGUGAGAGCCCUUGAAUGCUGGCCUUGGGGAGGUUCCUGCCCAUCCUUAACCUCAUGGUUAAGGCAACUCUCGGCCCUGCCUCCUGGCCCUCCGGACCAGCAGACAGAGCCUGCUCCAGUGCUUGCCCCAGCUUAGAGCUGCUGGGCUGGACAGGGGUAGGGGCCUGAGGGCUGUGUGACACUGAGAACAUUCUGCAUUGCAUGUCGGCCACAGGAGCCACCAAGCACAACAGGGCAGGCAGGCUGAGGAACUGCCGGUGCUGCUCUGGGGGCCUGGCCCAUGGUCAGGCUGUGCCUUUGUCCUCACAGGUGGCCACACACUCCAGGGAGGCUGUGCAGGGUAAGCUCGGCUUGGUCUCCUCCUGAGGGCCCUCCUGCCCCCGUAAGCCUCGGCCUCCCUGCAGGGGCUGCUGUGCUGGCAGCCAGCUCAGCUUCCGGGACUCGAGGACACGCCUUGUGGCCCUUCCCACUCUCUUCACCACCAUUACAGGGAAAGUUUCUCUAGAAAAAACUCUGGGACCCACAGAAGUGUCUCCAGCUUCCAGCGUUCCCUAUGACCUGACACAGAAACAGCAGACAGAGCAGCCCCGUUCUGGAGGGGCGUGGUCUGGUACACACCUCAGUGCCUUAGGGUUUGAGCCACUUAGAAUUCUUUAUCCUCUGAAUCUCAGGGCUGGGGUGCUUAUCACCCUAGAACUUGAUGUUGUUGUUUUUAUGUUGUCGUUGUUGUUGUUUUUUGAGAUGGUAUUUUGCUCUUGUUGCCCAGGGUGGAGUGCAAUGGCACGAUCUCGACUCACUGCAACCUCUGCCCCCCAGGAGAAUUGCCUGAACCCAGGAGGUGGAGGUUGCAGUGUUUUACUCCAGCUUGGGUAACAACAGCAAAACUCUGUCUCAAAAAAAAAAAAAAAUUAAAUGGAUGGAUAUUUACAAAGUUUUUAGAACAAUGCCUGGUACUAUAUUAGCUACUAUUGUUAUGCAUUAGCUAUUAUUAUUAUUUUAUAGUUU
rnacentral:lncRNA from 1 species